GCCUGCGCAAACCAGCUGCCUCACCAGCCCUGGAGCUCGCACCACGUGGCCUCACCUCACGUGUGCUGUCCCCCUGGCCACGUCUGUCUUUGUCUCACCUGACGUGCUGUGCCUCUCCUGCCAGGGCUCUGUCCUGUCUGCCGCCACUACCGCCGCAUGGCCCUGCUCGGCCUGCAGCCCGCUCGCCGCUUCGCUCCCUCAGAGACCCCGCGCCAGCGGUCCGUAUUGGCCACGGUCAUAUUUCUCUGCUUCUUUGCACGCCUGAUAAUUUUUAACUUGAUAUCUACAUUGUGAAUUUCACCUUGGUGAGUGAUGAAUAUGUUUAUACUCUUAUAAAUUGUUUUUGACAUUUGUUUUGAAUCACACAGGCUAUGUAGAAACAGUGUGAUCAUUUCAGUUUUUGUUGUUAACAACUGUUAGGCAUUAUUAAAGCAGUAUUUAGUCUAUCGUUAGGUAUUCUACAUUUCUGAGGCAAAACCAUUCUGAUUACUGUAUCUUAUCUAAUGACCCAGUUGUCCUGAGUUUUUCAAUCUGUUUGAUGGGAAGAGGUACUACUCCUGGCUCUGAGUGAGUGCCAGGCAUUAUUCUCUUGUAUGACUUCGGGUGUUUCUCUUCCUAUUCUCAAGUAAUUUUCUUACAUGCAUGUGCUCAUAAUCAUUUUGCUAAAUAUUCUAGGUGGAGUCUACAGAUCUCUGUAGUUCUUUCUCUGUGCAGCUCUUUGCUCUAUGAUAUUCUGUUCUACAAACUCUAGCCACUUUUAUCUUCCCAUAUUCUUAGCUCCAUCUCCUCAAAUCAAACAGUUGUCUGGGCUCUGCCUAAGUUUCCUCUCCCUCUCCCUACACUGUAGGCUAGAAGCUCACCCAAGGUAAUCCAGAGCCCAGCUGUUUUAUUUUGUUUUUUU
rnacentral:lncRNA from 1 species